CAGGGAGGAGCGGGCCGGGCCUGACUUGGGGAUGAGAAGUUUCCAAGGUAGCUGUGCCCGAGGGGAUCGUCCAGCGGUGACAGAGGACCAUGGGAAGAGAAAACAGAAGCCCAGAAGAUGAAGCCAGGGCACAGUGUGACGAUGGAUUAGAAGUGGGUUGUUCUGAUCCGGG
rnacentral:lncRNA from 1 species